rnacentral:rRNA from 1 species
UACAGAGGGGGCAAGCGUUGUUCGGAAUUACUGGGCGUAAAGGGCGCGUAGGCGGCCUGCUAAGUCGAACGUGAAAUCCCCGGGCUCAACCCGGGAACUGCGUCCGAUACUGGUGGGCUUGAAUCCGGGAGAGGGAUGUGGAAUUCCAGGUGUAGCGGUGAAAUGCGUAGAUAUCUGGAGGAACACCGGUGGCGAAGGCGGCAUCCUGGGCCGGUAUUGACGCUGAGGCGCGAAAGCUAGGGGAGCAAACGGG